rnacentral:SRP_RNA from 1 species
GCCGGGCAUGGUGGUGCAUGCCUGUAAUCCCAGCUACUCGGGAGCUGAGGCAAGAAAAUUGCUUGAGCCCAAGAGGCAGAGGCUGCAGUGAGCUGAGAUCAUGCCACUGCACUCCAACCUGGGCAACAAGAGCGAAACUCCGUCUCAAAGAAAAAAAAAAAUUUAAACAAUGUAGCAACUGUUCAGUUGGUGAAGGAAGUCAACUCCUUUUUUUGAGAUAGCGUCUCACUGUUGCCCAGGUUGGAGUGCAGUAGCAUGAACACAGCUCACUGCAGUCUCAACCUCUUGGGCUCAAGCAAUCCUCCAGCCUCAG